UACGUAGGGGGCAAGCGUUGUCCGGAAUUACUGGGCGUAAAGCGCGCGCAGGCGGCCUUUUAAGUCUGCUGGUGAAAUGCCGGGGCUCAACCCCGUGCCCGCCACAGAUACUGGGAGGCUGGAGACGAGUAGAGGCAAGCGGAAUUCCGGGUGUAGCGGUGGAAUGCGUAGAGAUCCGGAAGAACACCGGAGGCGAAGGCGGCUUGCUGGGCUCGGUCUGACGCUGAGGCGCGAAAGCGUGGGGAGCGAACAGG
rnacentral:rRNA from 1 species